rnacentral:lncRNA from 1 species
ACGGCCGGUGGGUUUGCCUCCUUCAAAGUCAGAACCAUAAGGAGCAAAAUUCGCUUUGACAGACGUGUUAAGAUUGUUAUUGUUCCCUGAAUCAACCAAUGAAUCUCCUAUAACAUACAAAGCCUGAAAAUUCCCGCCAAAAAGCACAGGUUCUACUUUUGAUCGCUUCGAGUUAAUGGUGGAGACAUUGAGAAGAAAAAGGAAGAUCAAAAGAAGGCAUGGCUUUAGAGAAGGCAAACCCAUUUCUAUCUUUCUCUUUCGGGGUUGGAGAAAGAAAAGAAAUGAACCUUGCAAAUAGGAAACAACGAAGAUGAAAGUUAAUUAUAAGCGAUUUGGAAAGCAUCAUACAGCUUUUACACAAGCUAAAUAUAUAAUACAACAUGGUAAAAGCUAUAAUUAACCAUUGUUAAGUGUUACCUAAUCCUAUAUAUGAACUGAAAAAUAAACAAUAUCGAAACUUUUUCUAUAAAAAAAACCUCCUAUGGCGACGAACGGUGUAUCCAAACUCUUAACAUAAAUAUCUAAUCAGAGACAGCUGAAUAUACGUAAAAGCUUCCGUUGUAAAUUCUCUGUCUAUUCGGCAGCAACAAGUAAAGUUGUGAUUUUUUAAGAUUGUCGCUGAGUAAAGUUAAUUUAUUUACUCACACAACUUCGCAAACUUUUCUCUGCUGGAAACAUCCAAUUGAGUACAUGAAAUUCGCCAAUUCAGUCGGAUGAAAUGGAUCAAAGAAAAUAUGUGUAUCUGGCACCUUACACGAGCUUGAUCGUGGCGUGCAACUCGUGCGUUUAUCUCCAUCAUAAACGCUAGGGCAACAUGGGCUUAUCGAGUUCAUUAGAUUCGAACUAACUUGAUUGGUCGAUGGUCCGCGAAGUCCCAACAUGAAGUUGAAGUAAUCUGAGUAUAAGAAAGAAGCUUCGGAGAAUGUUUUUUUCAAAUGAGUCAGGCUUUUCCUUAGCUUGACGUUGUAUUUGGCAACCGCUUUGUUUAAAUACUUGCUGCAGCUUCCACGUGGUACGGUGUUAGCUACUAUGUAAUUUGGGUAACAUCCUAAUGGUUUAAGAUUGUUGAUGAAGAACUUCCUUGCUCCUAACUCAUGCAAUCUCUGCAAACAAAAAUCAGAAUAUUUUGUACAAUGCAUCUCGAUUAACCCUGAAAAAAAUAUUUGAGCCUAAACUCAGACUAAUAUAUAUAUUAAAGAUUUAAUUAAUUCGAUUUAUAUAUUUUUAUUUUAUAAACUAUACUCCUAUAAAAACACUCCUAUAUCAAAAAUCUACAUUUUAAAGUUUUCACACAUACUAAAAUUUAAUUAUAACUUUAUUAAUUAUAUUCUGUGAUUAUCUAUUUUCUCUAUUUUUAAAUUAACAAAAAUUUAAUAAAUAUAAUUAUUUUUAUAACUCACAGUCUGUCAUUAUUAUUUAUUAAAAAUGCAUAGAAAAUGCAAAAGAGUACAUCUUCUUGAAAGAAUAUUAAAAAAAAACAUAUUAUCUAUUAGCAUUUAAAAAGAUAUUUUUUGGUUUCAGUUUUUCAAAAGUUUGUAAGUUUAAGUCUCAUCCGGUUCACUGUUAAGCUAAUAUGUUUGGUUCGGUCUAUCUCAAUCAAACAAUAUUACCAUUAGUUAACGUAGAGGCCAAUGAAAAAUUGGCGAAAAUUCAAACGUCAUUUUAUUUUACCUUAAUCUGCUUCAAGAAAUCAUGAAGAAGCUUUUUUGCGAAUUCAUUUGGAUCGGUUGUCUCUUUAAAGUAGAAAGCGUAAUCGUUAACUCCAAUCGCGGUCAUGAACAACGAUCCAGCCAAGUGUUUAGUGAGCUCUGAGUUCGUCUUAAACUUUUUCUUCAGAUUAUUGUCGAUGGUCUUUUCUAAUAGAUCAACUUGGGCACUCAACGAAAGACAUUUGCCCUUUUUCAUAGAAAGAAUCAUAUAAAACUCAUUAGUUUACCAAUAUUGCAACUAAAGAUCAUUUUGUAGAAUAUUGAAACUUACCAGUUGCGUUCCUGUAUCAGGAAAAAUCCCACAGCUAGCAGAAGCAUAAUUAAUACCAGUUGAGAUAUUGUUCUUUUGUUCUUCUGAUAAUCCCAUAUACGCAGGAGCCAAAGGAAGCCCAUAAUAAAUAGCUGAAAAAACAUCCAAGACCAUUAGACAAGGUUUAAAUGCCAAUAUUUUUAGUUAUUUUGUAUAGUUUAUAGAAUUGUAGGAACUCAUAUUCGUUUUCCAAAAUCCCCACCUAGAACAAUGUAUCUGUCUUAACUUUCAAUAUUUAUUAAGUUAUUAAGAGUACACAAUUUCCAUAAAAUUACCAAUCAGAAAUAAUUUUUGACCUAAUUAUCAGAAAAGAAAACAAUCACUGGUUAAUGUUAUAAGUCCUUUGAGUAAUUAAUUACACAACCUAUAAAACAUCCGUAAACAAAAAGGAGAGAAAUACAAAUUUUGUUUCGUUCUUACCAAUGUAAUCAGCAAUUGUUUUGCCAUUGCUAAAACGGCCGGUGGGUUUGCCUCCUUCAAAGUCAGAACCAUAAGGAGCAAAAUUCGCUUUGACAGACGUGUUAAGAUUGUUAUUGUUCCCUGAAUCAACCAAUGAAUCUCCUAUAACAUACAAAGCCUGAAAAUUCCCGCCAAAAAGCACAGGUUCUACUUUUGAUCGCUUCGAGUUAAUGGUGGAGACAUUGAGAAGAAAAAGGAAGAUCAAAAGAAGGCAUGGCUUUAGAGAAGGCAAACCCAUUUCUAUCUUUCUCUUUCGGGGUUGGAGAAAGAAAAGAAAUGAACCUUGCAAAUAGG